rnacentral:lncRNA from 1 species
ACUUGUUUGUGCUCUAGGAAGUCCCCAAGAGCACAGGAGCCCAGAGACCUCGCAGGAGGAAGCAGCAGUAUCUGUGUUCCAAAUCCUGCCCAGCCCCCAGGCAGCCAUGGUAUCUUCUCAGCUGGCUCGAGGGCACACCUCCCAAAAUGCAGAGAAGGCAGGGUGGCUAGGAAUGGCUCUAGUAGAAUUCUCCCCUUAUCUUGUCUGGAAACAAGGGGCAAAGAGCUAUCUAUUUCCUCCUGCCAGCCUCCUGCCCCCAACAGGAUUCCUCACAUCCCAGGACCAGCUGGAAAAGGUGGUGAGAGUUGGAAAGAGACUGCUCAGUGAGGACUGCCCUGCGAACCAGCUUGGAUUCAUCCCGUUCACCUCCACGUUCUGCACUCGGGGCCGAGGGAAGGGAGGCAGCCCAGGCAGCUAGAGAACUUGAUGAAACACACUCAAUCUGAAUCUCGCUUGAUCGUCAUGCUGACCCAGUGAGGCCACUCCUCGACUUUUCAGCUCCCGCACGAUUCCUGAAGCAGGAAAAGAAACAGUUCUGUGAGUCUACUCAGGGUCAGGCAUCCUUUCCGACUACUCACUCAGCAGCGGAUCCCCACCCGCCUCUGACUCCCAGUGUCUUUCGGCUCCAACGUAAGUUCACCGAACGUCUAAGAGCUGAGGAUUCAAAGGCAUGUAAGACCGCCCCUGCCCUCAGCUGCAAGACCUGUCCGCGAUCCUACGAGCCCCAUUCCGCCCUCUUUCCCCGACCUUGGUCCCCCAUGGGCCCUACAACCAGGUCCCCGACUGACACCUUGACCAGCGAACACAGCAAACAGGCCCGCAGAUGCCGCAGGUCCUUCGGCACCGUCUCCAGGGCCAUCUUCGCCGAUGGGAAGAACAACAGGGAGAUAGACGACCACAGCCUGUGCACCCGCAGGAAGUAAAUAGCUCGUUACCCAGAAUGCCCACCACUUCCGGCGCUUAGACUUCCUCUUCCGGUGUGGGCGGACGCCAGCUCCGCCCCUACCCCCGCCAGAGGAGAUGGUUUCUCCCGCCAGCAGGCGGGGAGGCUGGGCGGCCGGCCGCCACCUGGGCCGGAGCGCGUCGCAGCCACCUGAGCCCGCCGAGGGCGCGGCGGAGGCUGUGUGGGGUAGUCAGCGGGCCCCCGGGGCGGGGGGGCGGCUGCGCUUGCGCGGGAGUGUGUCGGGCUGAGCCGCAGCGCCGAGACGCGGGCUGUUUGAUCUGGGCUGGUGGCCCUGGGCGUCGGUCCUGUUCCCCGAUGGUAACCCGAAGUUUGUUUUUUUUUGUUUUGUCUCCCCGUUUUAGAAGCAUUGGGGGCAGUGAAUCCACUGUCUCCCUCUGGAUUGUCUCUGCAGAGACCGAGAAGAAAUCCAGGGACAGCCCCACCCCUCCUUCCUAACUGCGAGAGCGCUAUAGGGUUUCCACUUGCUUCCCACAGGAAUGCUGGCCUGGGAGCUACGGCGGAAAAAAAUGCGUAUUUAUCUUUUAAAACUCCGUCUGUUUGCUCGUUCCGGCUGAUAAUUUAUACUUUGCGCAGUUCUUAGCGCUUAGACACGGUUCCUUUACUAAAGACCAUUUGUAGGAGAUUAGGUGUCCUUUUUUUCCCUUUCAUUUCACCGUCUAGGAAGCGAAAUGCCUUGUUCUAUAGGCACUAAACCACCACCCCUACCAAACCUUUCUCGGGGAAGCAGAAGGGGAACUUGUGCCUUGUGAGGAAGCGACAAAGGCCCCUUCUGGCCCUGGAGACUUCACGCCAAUGGAGCACCAGCUCUCUGUCCUCGCAAUAGCCCGAGUGCAGGCAGAACGCAGUCAUUUGUGUUUAUCUGAGAGGAGCUUUGGGAUAUAAAUAGUUUCAGGCCCCGCUGCGCUGUCAUUCCAGCCCAGCCUCCUGAUUGAGCUGCUUCCGGGCGGGCUUUCUUCUUGUUGGCGGUCCCAUGCUGUGUUCAGAUGGGCUCUGUGACAGGUUUGGAUGUUUUCUAUCACUGAAUAAAACUUUCCACUUUGGAACAUAUUUUCUACACUCUAUUAUCUCAUGUAAGUCCUGCAACAACUAUUAAGUAGGCCCAUUUUAUGGACUGAAAAAGCGAGGCACAGAGUAUUUGCCCAAGGUCUGAGUCACUGAAGUAUGAUAAUGUGUGAAGUGAACAGUAUAAUAAUAAUGACUGAAGCACAGUAAGAAUCCAGUCAUGCUUUCUCCUUCCCUGAUCUCACUAAGCCACACUUUUAGGGGCUUACAAACCAGUUCUUAUUGCCAAGCCCUCUACUCUACCCUAUCCUUUCAUGAAUCGGAGCCUAGCCUCUGAUAACAUAAAUAAUUUACUUCUCUUGAUGUAGAAAGAGAUGACGUUGUUACCCUGAGUGACAGUCACGACAGAACAAAACCACAAGACCAGACCACAUUUGUGGAUAAAUAUAUUAGCAAAUAAAUAUAUUUCUUAACAUAGUGCCUGA